GACAAACGCCGGCGGCGUGCUUAACACAUGCAAGUCGAACGGUAAGGCCCUUCGGGGUACACGAGUGGCGAACGGGUGAGUAACACGUGGGUGAUCUGCCCUGCACUUCGGGAUAAGCCUGGGAAACUGGGUCUAAUACCGGAUAGGACCACUGCCUGCAUGGGUGGUGGUGGAAAGCUUUUGCGGUGUGGGAUGGGCCCGCGGCCUAUCAGCUUGUUGGUGGGGUGAUGGCCUACCAAGGCGACGACGGGUAGCCGGCCUGAGAGGGUGACCGGCCACACUGGGACUGAGAUACGGCCCUGACUCCUACGGGAGGCAGCAGUGGGGAAUAUUGCACAAUGGGCGCAAGCCUGAUGCAGCGACGCCGCGUGAGGGAUGACGGCCUUCGGGUUGUAAACCUCUUUCAGCACCGACGAAGCGCAAGUGACGGUAGGUGCAGAAGAAGGACCGGCCAACUACGUGCCAGCCGCCGCAGUAA
rnacentral:rRNA from 1 species